AUCACUGUUCGUUUUCUUCACUGUUUUACAUGUGCAAAAUUUAGACCACAUGGCUAUUAUUGUAGAUUAAAUAAAUUGUAGCUAUGGAAUGUCAAUUGUUAAUGCUUACAAAAUUAUGUACGUUGAGAUUUUCCUAGAUUAUUUGCAUAUUGAGCUCUAGGAUUGAAUUUCAAAUUUAGAUGAUAAGAUCAUAGACAGUUUUAAAGAUAAAGGAUAAGUAAAUGUCUGAGGUUUAAGUACAGGUUCUUGCACUUUAUGCAAUGAGGAUUUGUUUAGUUGUGUAUGUCAUGUCAAUCUUGAAGAGGGUUGUAGAUUUUUUUUUUAAAAAUAGCAGAAACACAAGAAUGAUCAAGUUGUGUGUGGAGUUUUUCCAAACAUGUUCUUGUGCUAGAAUAUUAUUGUAGUGACAUAUUUGGACAAAAAUCAGCAAUUUUAAGAGGAUAUAAUAUGUUGGAGAAGUAAAAUACAAUUCAGACAAAGUGUUAACUUUAAUCAAUGACAUAAUACCAUAAAACAUAAAGUCAAGGUCCUCUCUGGUUUCCAUGGUAAUCAAACUUUUGUAACGUUUAGCAGUUGUGUCACUCUGACAAACUUCUUUUUCCCAUGACUUAAACCAAUUGUAUGAUUCCUUUAACUGAUUCAGUCUUGUAUCACUCAUGUCUUUUACAGGUCUCUGGUCCGUGAAAAAGGAUACCAAAACAUUGGAAUGAUCCAGGAACUCUAUAGCUCCACAUAAAGCAGUUUUCCCAGCUUCACCAAGAGUAUUGCUAUUUGUAUAGAUACAAAAGACUCUCUGAAGGAAGGUUGACCCAACUAUUUGCUGUAAUAUCUUUAUAAGCAGAGGGAUUUCUGUUAUACAAGCCUUUUUACUGCUGGAGAAAAUAUCAGCUUCACCAUGAGUCAAUGAGGCUCCAUGACAGAGAGACACUGUGUUCAAAGCUCUAAAUAUUCCACAUACUGCAGAUUUGGUAAACUCUAUCUUGUUGGUGAUGUGAAAUGUGGACAGAUCAACUGAUUUAUCAGCCACUGAUAGUUCAAUAAAACCAGUAUUUUCUAUUGUAAGCUCUGUGAUAACAGAAUUUCCAUUAAAUUUUUCUA